rnacentral:rRNA from 1 species
CAUAUGGAUUCCUACGGGAGGCAGCAGUGGGGAAUAUUGCACAAUGGAGGAAACUCUGAUGCAGCAACGCCGCGUGGAGGAUGACGCACUUCGGUGUGUAAACUCCUUUUAUAGGGGAAGAUAAUGACGGUACCCUAUGAAUAAGCACCGGCUAACUCCGUGCCAGCAGCCGCGGUAAUACGGAGGGUGCAAGCGUUACUCGGAAUCACUGGGCGUAAAGGAUGCGUAGGCUGGAAAUCAAGUCGAAAGUGAAAUCCAACGGCUCAACCGUUGAACUGCUUUCGAAACUGGUUACCCAGAAUAUGGGAGAGGUAGAUGGAAUUAGUGGUGUAGGGGUAAAAUCCGUAGAUAUCACUAGGAAUACCGAUUGCGAAGGCGAUCUACUGGAACAUUAUUGACGCUGAGGCAUGAAAGCGUGGGGAGCAAACUGGAUUAGAUACCCUGGUAGUCCACGCCCUAAACGAUGCACGCUAGUUGUUGCGAUGCUAGUCAUUGCAGUAAUGCACUUAACAGAUUAAGUGUGCCGCCUGGGGAGUACGGUCGCAAGAUUAAAACUCAAAGGAAUAGACGGGGACCCGCACAAGCGGUGGAGCAUGUGGUUUAAUUCGAAGAUACACGAAGAACCUUACCUGGGCUUGAUAUCCUAAGAAUCCUGUAGAGAUACGGGAGUGCUAGUUUACUAGAACUUAGAGACAGGUGCUGCACGGCUGUCGUCAGCUCGUGUCGUGAGAUGUUGGGUUAAGUCCCGCAACGAGCGCAACCCUCGUGAUUAGUUGCUAACAGUUCGGCUGAGCACUCUAAUCAGACUGCCUUCGUAAGGAGGAGGAAGGUGAGGACGACGUCAAGUCAUCAUGGCCCUUAUGCCCAGGGCUACACACGUGCUACAAUGGCUAGGACAAAGAGACGCGAUACUGCGAAGUGGAGCAAAUCUUAAAACCUAGUCUCAGUUCGGAUUGGAGUCUGCAACUCGACUCCAUGAAGCUGGAAUCGCUAGUAAUCGUAGAUCAGAUAUGCUACGGUGAAUACGUUCCCGGGCCUUGUAC